rnacentral:rRNA from 1 species
GACGAACGCUGGCGGCGUGCUUAACACAUGCAAGUCGAACGGAAAGGCCCUGCUUUUGUGGGUUGCUCGAGUGGCGAACAUGUGUGUAACACGUGAGUAACCUGCCCUUGACUUUGGGAUAACUUCAGGAAACUGGGGCUAAUACCGGAUAGGAGCUCCUGCUGCAUGGUGGGGGUUGGAAAGUUUCGGCGGUAGGGGAUGGACUCGCGGCUUAUCAGCUUGUUGGUGGGGUAGUGGCUUACCAAGGCGUUGAAGGGUAGCCGGCCUGAGAGGGUGACCGGCGCCAAUGGGACUGAGAGACGGAGCAGACGGCUACGGGAGGCAGCAGUGGGGAAUAUUGCCCAAUGGGCGGAAGCCUGAUGAAGAGACGCCGGGGGCGGGAUGACGGCCUUCGGGUUGUAAACCGCUUUCGGCUGUGACGAAGCGUGAGUGACGGUAAUGGGUAAAGAAGCACCGGCUAACUACGUG